GUGCCAGCCGCCGCGGUAAUACAGAGACUGCAAGCGUUAUUCGGAUUCACUGGGCGUAAAGGGUGCGCAGGCGGUCGUGUGUGUCAGAUGUGAAAUCCCGGAGCUUAACUCCGGAACUGCGUCUGAAACUACACGACUAGAGCAUUGGAGAGGGAAGUGGAAUUCAUGGUGUAGCAGUGAAAUGCGUAGAUAUCAUGAGGAACACCAGAGGCGAAGGCGACUUCCUGGACAAUUGCUGACGCUCAGGCACGAAAGCAUGGGGAGCAAAAGGGAUUAGAAACCCCCGUAGUCC
rnacentral:rRNA from 1 species